AAGAGUAGGGAGGGCCGAGAUCAGGGAGUACAUAGCGGAUGACCAGGGACUGAGGGAGUGUGGAUAUUCAGUGCUGUUCGUUCUUCUGUUACAGGAUUCUGUGUCGUCGUGCAGGAGAGGGGGGAUCGAGUCUGAAGAGAGCCAAAUAAAAGCCUUACACAGAUCCACGAGACAUGAAGAGGCUGAGGUUUCCAUGUAAGAGCAACCUGGCCAAUCUUUUGUGUUUCUAUAUACUGUGUGUAUAUAUAUCUGAAACAAAAACACACUGGAAAUGUGAAAAAACGCCAAGUUACCAAAAGUGCCCAGCCAUUUAAAGUAGAGAUAUAAAAAACACAAGCUAAGUUAGAAGAAACAAUUGGGGCAACCUUGGCCAGCACCAAGGAAAUAGGCAGAACUGUCCAAGCAGUGGGGGCCAAGGUUGCCCCAGUUGUUUCUACUAACUUGGCUUGUGUUUUUCAUGCGUUUUGAUCUGCUUUUAUUGUGCCUGAAAAACACAAAACAAGUGGCACGGGACUCUCUGCCAACGGCUGCACUCUCUCCGGCAGCGACUUGACAGUCACCUGGAUGACCUCAUCCCACUCCCUCUGAGCGACACGGCUUCUCCUGGCACCACACCCCCAGCUGUGCUCUCUCCUACUCGUACAAUGCGGGAAGACAAAUAGGAAAGAAAGAGCUCCGCCUGCACUAGAAGACUGGCUCUACCUCCACUACGCUCCCCUGCCUCCAGAGCCCGCUCCUUCUCCACCAUUGCUCCGCAGUGGUGGAAUGACUUUCCUACAGAUGUCAGGACUGCCCAGUCCCUGACCACAUUCCGGUGCCUCCUUAAGACUCACCUCUUCAAACAGCACCUGUAGAACUCCUCUGUUUGUAUCCUGGGACACUAUCACCCUUCAUGUAAAUGUGCUUUAUUUUGCUAUUAUCUGCAUUUAAUCCUGUACUUCAGAAUACUGUAAUCUGCCAAGUGUUUAACCUGUAGUAUUUUGUAUUUAAUCAUAUCCUGAUGUAACUAUCACUAUUAUCUGCUGUAUUAUUGAAUUGUUGUUUGUCACACUUGUACUUUGCUUGAACAAAAGUUAUUGUAUUUCUUGCUCUUAUUGUAUUACUUGUAUUGUAACACUUAAUGUAUUUGCUUACGAUUGUAAGUCGCCCUGGAUAAGGGCGUCUGCAAAUAAAUAAAUAAUAAUAAUAAUAAUAAUAAUAACAAUAUAUAUGCAUGUUAAAGUUGUGUGCAAAACAUUUCACGCCACAAAGUAGUAUGCAAGAUUUUGUAAAUAAUGAUUAUGUAUUAUCCCGAUUGUACUGAAUGUUUUCAUCUAAUUUUGCAAACUAUCAUAAUAAGCUUGAUCUGUUAAUUUAGUAUAUUGUAACAUGUUCAUAUUUAGGAGCAGUACUCAGGGUAGGGCUGCCAUUU